rnacentral:rRNA from 1 species
CGUGUAGGCGGAUAAGCAAGUCGGGUGUGAAAGCCACCGGCUCAACUGGUGAAUUGCACUCGAAACUGCUUUUCUAGAGUACAGAAGAGGAAGGCGGAAUUCUUGGUGUAGCGGUGAAAUGCGUAGAUAUCAAGAAGAACACCUGUGGCGAAGGCGGCUUUCUGGUCUGAUACUGACGCUGAGGCGCGAAAGCGUGGGGAGCAAACA